AACACAUGCAAGUCGAACGGGCACUUCGGUGCUAGUGGCAGACGGGUGAGUAACACGUGGGAACGUACCUUUCGGUUCGGAAUAAUUCAGGGAAACUUGGACUAAUACCGGAUACGCCCUUCGGGGGAAAGAUUUAUCGCCGAUAGAUCGGCCCGCGUCUGAUUAGCUAGUUGGUGAGGUAAUGGCUCACCAAGGCGACGAUCAGUAGCUGGUCUGAGAGGAUGAUCAGCCACAUUGGGACUGAGACACGGCCCAAACUCCUACGGGAGGCAGCAGUGGGGAAUAUUGGACAAUGGACGCAAGCCUGAUCCAGCCAUGCCGCGUGAGUGAUGAAGGCCUUAGGGUUGUAAAGCUCUUUUGUCCGGGAAGAUAAUGACUGUACCGGAAGAAUAAGCCCC
rnacentral:rRNA from 1 species